AAUGAACGCUGGCGGCAUGCCUAACACAUGCAAGUCGAACGAAGGCUUCGGCCUUAGUGGCGCACGGGUGCGCAACGCGUGGGAAUCUGCCCUUGGGUUCGGAAUAACAGUUAGAAAUGACUGCUAAUACCGGAUGAUGUCGUAAGACCAAAGAUUUAUCGCCCAAGGAUGAGCCCGCGUAGGAUUAGCUAGUUGGUGGGGUAAAGGCCCACCAAGGCGACGAUCCUUAGCUGGUCUGAGAGGAUGAUCAGCCACACUGGGACUGAGACACGGCCCAGACUCCUACGGGAGGCAGCAGUGGGGAAUAUUGGACAAUGGGCGAAAGCCUGAUCCAGCAAUGCCGCGUGAGUGAUGAAGGCCUUAGGGUUGUAAAGCUCUUUUACCCGGGAUGAUAAUGACAGUACCGGGAGAAUAAGCUCCGGCUAACUUCGUGCCAGCAGCCGCAGUAA
rnacentral:rRNA from 1 species